rnacentral:rRNA from 1 species
AGCUCCCUUGAGUGCCACUGGGGUUACUACUUCGGAUCCCAGUGGAUCUGGCAAAGUUCGUAUCCGCCUCGAUUAGGAGAAGCGGGACUCAAGCCUGGCUCUGAGCGGCGAUCGGAUAACUAGUGGUGAGGUAAGCUCACCAGCGACGAUCAGUAGCUGUCGAGAGACGACCAGCCACACUGACUGAGACACGUCAGACUCUACGGAGCAGCAGUGGGAUUUGACAUGGCGCAGCUGAUCAGCAUGCCGCGUGAGUGAAGAAGACGUCGGGUGUAAAGCUCUUUGUCAGGGAAGAAACGGGUGUGGCUGAUAUCUGCAUCUAAUGACGGUACCUGAAGAAUAAGCACCGGCUAACUACGUGCCAGCAGCCGCGGUAAUACGUAGGGUGCAAGCGUUAAUCGGAAUUACUGGGCGUAAAGCGUGCGCAGGCGGUUUUGUAAGUCUGUCGUGAAAUCCCCGGGCUUAACCUGGGAAUGGCGAUGGAGACUGCAAGGCUAGAGUUUGGCAGAGGGGGGUAGAAUUCCACGUGUAGCAGUGAAAUGCGUAGAGAUGUGGAGGAACACCGAUGGCGAAGGCAGCCCCCUGGGUCAAAACUGACGCUCAUGCACGAAAGCGUGGGGAGCAAACAGGAUUAGAUACCCUGGUAGUCCGCGCCCUAAACGAUGUCUACUAGUUGUCGGGUCUUAAUUGACUUGGUAACGCAGCUAACGCGUGAAGUAGACCGCCUGGGGAGUACGGUCGCAAGAUUAAAACUCAAAGGAAUUGACGGGGACCCGCACAAGCGGUGGAUGAUGUGGAUUAAUUCGAUGCAACGCGAAAAACCUUACCUACCCUUGACAUGGCAGGAAUCCUCGAGAGAUCGGGGAGUGCUCGAAAGAGAACCUGCACACAGGUGCUGCAUGGCUGUCGUCAGCUCGUGUCGUGAGAUGUUGGGUUAAGUCCCGCAACGAGCGCAACCCUUGUCAUUAGUUGCUACGAAAGGGCACUCUAAUGAGACUGCCGGUGACAAACCGGAGGAAGGUGGGGAUGACGUCAAGUCCUCAUGGCCCUUAUGGGUAGGGCUUCACACGUCAUACAAUGGUACAUACAGAGGGCCGCCAACCCGCGAGGGGGAGCUAAUCCCAGAAAGUGUAUCGUAGUCCGGAUUGUAGUCUGCAACUCGACUGCAUGAAGUUGGAAUCGCUAGUAAUCGCGGAUCAGCAUUCGCGGUUGCUUC